rnacentral:lncRNA from 1 species
UACCUUCUGCUUCAGAUAAGUUUGCGUCAAUCGUCCUUGCAACAGAACCGUGAUCAAUAAAUGCUUGAAGAGCUUGGUCGGGCAUUGUUGAAACCUAGCAGAAAUUUCUUUAGAGGUCAACCAUCAUGCAUACACAGGUAAUACAGAUUAUUCGCAUCUUUAAUCUUUGUCCCCGUUAGCCUAGGGCCUAUAUUAUGAUUUUUUUAUUUUUUCAGAUAAAAAUAGCCUUCUAGGUUAACGGGAGACAAGAAUGUAAGCUCCCGUUUGGCCAUAGAUGUAACUUGAAAUUUUGAGUUCUAGAAGUUGUGAUUGGACAUGCAUUUUACUUGGUGAGCCAGUUUUUAGAAACAUGAAAAAAAUUUGAAGAUCAGAUUUUGAAAAUCUAAUCAAAUUUCAUAGUCAAACAGAUAUUUGAAGAUAAAUUAUCGAAAUCUGAUACAAAAAUCUAUGACCAAACGCUAGCUAAAUAGUGGCUUCAAAAAAGGUUAUUCGUGCAAAUGCCCCCAAGUAAUAUUUAAUUAGAGGCAAAUUCAAGAAAAGUGAUUGUAUGUCUUCUAAAGGGCCACAAUCACCACAAAAAAAGAAGGUGAGAAGAUGACUCACAGUGUCGGGUCCAAUCAGAGGAUCCACAUAUAAAGUGUCGGGAUACGCUGGGUUCUUAACACUAGUUGAGGCCCACAAUAGCCUCUGCUUCUUGGCACCUUUCUUUACCAAAGCCUCCCAUCUUGGACCAGAAAAUUUCUUCUGGUAAAGAUCGUAAGCUAGAGCUGCCUGUGCAUUUGCAGCCUGCAAUAGAAGUACAACAACGUGAGGUUAUUCAAAACUUGUACUUCUCUUGCAUCCUAAAAGGAGUAGAGAAAUUUGAACAUGCAGUAGGUACCUUCCCACGAAGAUCAAGAGCCUCUGGAGUUCCAAUUUUCUCAAGCAACUUGUCGACAAGUGUGUCUACUCGACUAACGAAGAAUGAAGCAACACUUGUGACUCUGGAGAGAUCACUUAGCCCAGAAGCCUCAAGGCCAUCAAGGUAAGCAUCAAUGACUGCUUCAUAUCUUGAAAGAGAAAAGAUAAGCUGUGCGUACACAUAGGAUCUACUUCAGUAUUCAAGAAACAGAUAAAGUACAAAAAGGAAAAUGAAAACAUGAAACAUUUAAAAAGAAAAACUGAAUGACGGUUCUUUAAACAUCAAAGAUAUAAUUCUUCAUUCACUAAUUAAUUCCUAUGCAAAUAUCUCUCUUAAGCACCAGUAGACAAGCAACCUUCAAUCUCAUGCAUGAACUGUCAAGUUGUCAACAAAGGCGACAAUGAAUCAACUUACCGUCACAUUGACACUUAUUCCAAGUGAAAUGACUUCCUUGAUGGAAGGAAUGCAUGGAGCAGUAGCAGG